AGAUUGCGCAUAACGAGGCCGUGUAUUGUGCCGUUCAGGACGAGACAUGUGAUGGCUGCACCUGGAUGGAGGCCGCAGCAGGGGGAGGGGUCGGGUUUUUGCUCCUCGAACUAGCCAAGAGGGUACUGCUCGGGGACACAAACGAGUUUGAAGUGCAGAAGUACAAAACACAGGUGCCUCCUUCUCACGAGAGCAACAAGCCAUUCGUCCUCCCCGCCGAGGUGUUAAUCCUGUGGGGUUCCCAUUACGCGAGAGUUCAGAGUGACGAGAAAGCCAUCCCGAGCCAGUAAACUACCUGGACACUCACAACGGGGCUCGCAAUGGCCUGGAAGGCAGUAAACAGCAAUUGGCUGCUACCCUUCACAGCUACAAAGAAAGAGACUUUGACCUGCUAAUUUCCCUUAAUAACCUAUAUGAUGAUAAAUACUUCAUACUAAUUAUGGUCCAAACUUGCGGCAAUAUUUGUUGCCUAAAAAUGCAUUGAUCUUUUAUUGGAAACUAACCAUGGAUGUAAGUUGUAUGUUCUUAGCCUAUUUAAUGCUUAUCCAUUAGGAUACAGUUAUUCAGUUUUUAUGGAACUUUGUUUGUAAAUAAACUUACUCUCCUUGAUAGAUAUAGUGUAAAUAAGCCCAGUUAAAGAUACAAUGUUGCAUUUCCCUAAUUCCUCUAAUACAGUACCUUCCUAUCGAC